AGUGAACGCUGGCGGCGUGCCUAAUACAUGCAAGUCGAACGAAGUGGCGCACGGGCGAGUAAUAAUUAGUUAAUCAGCCCUACACAGAGGAACAACAGUUGGAAAAGGCGGCAAAUAAUACAUAGUGUAGGAUGAGACUAUAUCGUAUCAGCUAGUUGGUAAGGUAAUGGCUUACCAAGGCUAUGACGCGUAACUGGUUUGAGAGGAUGAUCAGUCACAUUGUAACUGAGGCACGGUCCAAACUCCUUCGAGAAGCGGCAGUAAGGAAUAGUGCGCAAUGGGGGAGGCCCUGACGCAGCAACGCCGCGUGGAGGAUGACACUUUUCGGGGCGUAAACUCCUUUUAUCAGGAAAGCGGUACCUGAUGAAUAAGCACCGGCUAACUCCGUGCCAGCAGCCGCGGUAAUUC
rnacentral:rRNA from 1 species